CCUACGGGUGGCAGCAGUGGGGAAUAUUGGACAAUGGGGGGAACCCUGAUCCAGCCAUGCCGCGUGUGUGAAGAAGGCCCUCGGGUUGUAAAGCACUUUCAGUGAGGAAGAACGCCUGGUGGUUAAUACCCAUCAGGAAAGACAUCACUCACAGAAGAAGCACCGGCUAACUCCGUGCCAGCAGCCGCGGUAAUACGGAGGGUGCGAGCGUUAAUCGGAAUUACUGGGCGUAAAGCGCGCGUAGGUGGCUUGAUAAGCCGGUUGUGAAAGCCCCGGGCUCAACCUGGGAACGGCAUCCGGAACUGUCAAGCUAGAGUGCAGGAGAGGAAGGUAGAAUUCCUGGUGUAGCGGUGAAAUGCGUAGAGAUCGGGAGGAAUACCAGUGGCGAAGGCGGCCUUCUGGACUGACACUGACACUGAGGUGCGAAAGCGUGGGUAGCAAACAGGAUUAGAUACCCGAGUAGUC
rnacentral:rRNA from 1 species